UGGAUAAACUCUCCGUUUAGAGAGAAUAUGAGGGCCGUUUAAAUAUCGCUCGGAAUCUUCCCCAGUGUGCACGGGCGACGAGCGCCAUUAAAGUUGAUCCCUUUGGUUUGUGGGCGUUUACCUGUCAAAACUGGAUUUUGGGGAGGUAAUUAUUUCCGCAAUACUUUAUGUGAUUGUAUGCAGCUGAUUUGACAUUUCAUCGCAAUGCUUUCAAGUGAAAACGCGAAGGUGAUCAAAAGCUGACAUAACGCUCGCUGUUAGACGCACAUCUCAAACGGUACGCUUUGCGUGCACACCGCGAGAUUUGCAAGUGAUAUCGCGAUACAGCUAAUGUACACGAUACGAACUACACCAGUGCGUUCAAAUUGUGUUUUCCAGAGAAUUCGGUUCCUGGAAAUUCCUGUGUAUCGCGAGUAUUGUUGCGUUUGCCACACUCUAAUCGGCUUCUGACCUUAGCAUCUCCUGUAAAAUACCAUGGGGUCCGAUAACUACCUCAGCCACCCAUACCUAGCGCUGUAUUAAUGCCGUCCGCGAUAUCAUUGUUUCCAACCGCAUUUAGCUCUUGUUUCCAACCACAAUCCGUUGAAAUGCCACCGUGAUUGUUGUGUGUGAUUGUUGUGUUGACGAUUCUCGCUGUCAGUGAACGGACGUUUGGAGUGAAAAUUUAAAUUUGUAUGGUCGUUGAAAAGACGAUACAGAAAUGAACGGUUCGUAUAUAAUAACAUAUUAAAUAAAAUCAACUAGAUGCUGAAAAGUUUGAGAUGCUUUGAAAGUUUGAAGGUGCGUAUCUGUAUGACGUCCGCGAUCCUAGCCGAGUUCACGAUAAGAUGCGCGGUGAAUGUUCACAUUGCCUUGUGCGCGUUUACCUGUCAACACGGAAUUCCGAGGAGGUGAUUUGACAUUUCGUCGCAACGUUUCUAAAUCGCAACGCGAAGGCGAUCGAAAAUUGACAGCGAUCGCGGUUAGACGAAAACCACAAACGGGACACGUCCGGGAGGCUCGCGAGCAUUGUGAACGUAAAACGGGCCUCAGCUAUAAUAUAACAAAUACGUAUUUAUGUUUGUUGGUACUGCUGCUAGGAACGCAUCUAAUUUGACGACAUCGAAAGUUUAUUUCUGUACCGCCAUCAAAAGCAAACUCCAAGCAACGAUAUCCAAAUUCGCAAUAGAAGAUUGACUAAAAAGAAUUGACGUUCAAGCAAAGCUGAAAUUUCCGAAGAAAAGAAGCCAUGAAGUACAUUUGAUGUUUGACACAUGUGUAUUUGAUGUUUGUUUGGAGUAUGUGUUUGAAUAUGACGAAGCGGAUUGUAUCUCAACGCACUACUAGUGUUACUUUUAGAUUUACAAAAAGACGAGGAUAUUUCGGUACUACGGAAAUUUUGAAUAAUGCACCUCUGACUUCACCUAUCCGCGAAUAACAUCUAAGGAAAAAAUGCUGUAGCAUUGUUUACGUCAGACGAUACACGAAAAUAAUAGUUAUUAGAUGACAAAACCAUUAGAGCCGACACCGACGCUAUGGAAAUUAGCGCAUAUUAUGAUCGAUUUGCAAAACUUUCGGAAAAGGAGCUACUAGCUGUAAAUCAUAUUCGAAGAAGAAUGAUGGAAACGUGGCUUUACCUGUGAACUUUUGUAGCAAAACUUGCUUGAUUUUCAUCUUAAUUUGAAGGAGCAAAAAAGAGAACUGUAAAGUUUAUAAAUACUUCUAAACGUUUCAAAGAAAACAAAUACAUAUGGAUUUCCGUACGAAUCUGCGAACAUAUGUGAUAGUUCAAUAAGUUGAAUAAAUAAUCGGUUUAUAGCGAAAGCAUAUGAAAACUCGCUGCACGCAAAAAUGUUCUUAGUGGAUACUAUUAUUUGAAUUUAUAUAUAUGUACAUAUAAUAGCUAGCGUUUUUGAAAUCAAAUGAUAAUCAACUGAGACUUUCGAGAUAGCAAAGUAUUGGAGAAUUUAUCUCUAUCCAGACAAGUCAGCAAUUUUGAUUAUGAGAAGUUAUAUCAUGAAUGUCUCCUCCAUUUGAAGAACUGUUGAUCUUUCAAUAAGUGCCCAGCUAAGGGUUCACAAACCUAUUGCAUCGAGGCCGGAAGAGCGUGUACCAAUUUACUUCCUUGUUGUUCCAUGCACCUUAAUUAAGUAUAAGUAGAAAAUAAUAAAGAACAAUUGUAUAUAA